rnacentral:piRNA from 1 species
UGGCAAAUGGCCCUCUACAAGACUGAGUGGU